GUUAAAAGAAAAAAUGCAAAUCUCAGAGCAUUUAGAAAUAUGACUCUCAUUUCAAUUUGCUUCUUCCCCAAAUUAAAGAAAUAAAUCCUUCUCAAAUGGCUAUUCUGAGGAAAGCAUAGAGCACAAUGCUUAGCACAUAAUAGACAAUUAAUAAAUAGUGCUUGAAUCAUUUUCCCUGUGUACUUAUAUUUAAUCCCAAAGUCUAGCAAUUUUAUCCCUGUAUCUGGCCAUUUUCUCCAUGGUCUUUUCCACAUAAGGGUAGAUUUGUAAGAAGCUUACAAAGGCACUUCUUUAAGAGUGUUUUUUACCCAGCCCUGCCUCUCCCCAUCACUUUCUUUUCCCAAAGUAUUACUUUAUAGAACAUUGCUUUAAACUACCAGAAAAAAAAAUUAAAAAAGGAGUAGGACCACUUGGGAUUUAACAUAUAGAUUUUAACAUAAAAUAAAUUUUGUAUUUGUAUCCUAGAAAGUGCUUCAAACAAUCUUACAACUAAUCAGAAUAAAUUUAUAACAAACUGUAUUUGAAUAGGUUCAAAGAACAAGGUAAAAAUACCUGUUACCACAUCAUGACAUGUUUAGUUUAUUAGAAUUUAACUUAAUAAUUUAAUAAGGUAGUGAAGUACUUUUUAUAAGGUGUCCUUGUAAAUUAGCUGGGUAACAGGAGGAGGCAUCUAAUCAGAUACCUUAUACUGAAUCUUCAAUAUGGUGAGUUUGCCUGGCUAUCACUUCUAUUAACUGGCAAUUUAAUGUGGGAAGGAAUUUAAUGAACACAUAGAAUCCCAAUGAUCUUGGCUUUGAAGUUUUGGAAGCCUCUUUGAAAUCUGGUCUCCUGACUGCUACAGGGAUUAUCAAAUAUUUGAGACUUUUGCUUCUCAAUAGGAUGUUUUCCUAAUCUUUUUUGUUUAUAAUGAACUGAUGACUGCUCAAUCAAAGUCGACUGUUUUAUACAUUUAAAGUCAUCAAUGUAAUAAAUAAGGGCAUUUUGUAAAAACAACCAGAUUUCCUUAGUUAUAUUCUGAAGUUUUGGCAAUUAAGACAUGGAGAAAAUAAAGAACUUGUAGGAAAUAAUUCAAAAGAACAAAAAUUCAAUCUCAGUUUCCUUGAAUCAUGUAAGAUGUGAUCACAUAAGAAGAUAUACAAAUACACACACGUUUAAAAAAGGAAUUAUAAAUUAGACGUGAAAAAUUUUGCAUUUUAUCUGAUGUUUUAAAAUGUAUCUGAAUUAGUUCUAUUUAUGUCAAAUGAGACAAAAGUGGCAUAGAAGAGCAAAAAUAGAAAUGGCAAAAUCUCAGGAAUAAAUAAAGGAAAAUGAGAAGAAAAAUGAAAAGAAGUAAGAAGGGAAAUAAAAGAAAAGGAGAAAAAGAAGAGAACAGAAGGGAAAAAUCAGAGAGAGAAAUGAAAGGAAAAGAGAGAUGGUUAAAUUUCACAAAUAAUUUUAAAGGGAAAGGAAUUGCCUUAAUAAUCUCCUAUAAUUCAAUAUUUGGAACACAUUAGAGCUCCAUGAAGGUGGUAAGAAAGGUCUUAUAAACCAACAUAGGAGAAAUUAAUCUAUAUUUGGUUAUGAAAGAGAAGAAAUACAAUAUAAAUAACUGCCUUCAUCCAGCAUCCAGGACCCCUACUUGUGAAAUCUUAAUAUUUUGCUUGUCCUUUCCCUCCCUCUUCCUCCUUCCUUCUCUCUCUCUCUCCUGUUUCUCUUCAUUCUCUGUCUAUGUCUCUUUCUUGCAUGUGUCCAUGUAGGUGUAUUCUUAUUGGAGUCUUACUUAGUUUAAUAUAAGUUGCAGAUAGGAGUCUCCAUAAACUCUAAAAAUUUCUGUGUGAAUUUUCUAAAAGAUUACUCUGUAAAACCCCAGUACAACCAUCUAAAUCAGCAAACUAACGCUGAAGACAAUACCACCAUCUAGACUGACAUUUAACACAGAUACUCCACUGAAAUUUUGACAAUAUUUCGCUCUUCAUUUAUUUUUUCAAUCUGGUCUAGGAUCCAAUUCAAAAAUAUAUGUUGUAUUUUUUGGUCAUAGAUCUUUAGCCUCCUUCAAUCAGGAACUGCUCCUAAAACUUAUAUUUACUUUAGUGACCUUGAUACAUUGUAAAAGGAUGGCCAGUUAGUUUAUAGAAUGCCUCUCGGUUUUUAGUUUAUCUGACAUUUCUUUAUGAUUAGUGUCAAAUUCUGCACUUAUACAGAUAUGUUACAAAAUGAUAUCAAUUUGUCUUGUUACUAGUGAUGCUUUGAUUAAGAUGAUGGCUUCAAGCAUCACUGCAAAAUUACUAUUUUCCCUUUGUAAUUAAUAAGUCUUUGGGGUGGUGCUAUUUGGAGACUUUGAAAUUAUUUUCUUAACAAAUUUUCACUGUCUAGUUUAGCACUCAAUGAUAAUUUUAUCUAAAUAAAUUACUGUUAUAUUGGUUCUAAAAUGGUGAUUUUCCUACUUCACCAUUCCUUCCACAUUUAUUAGCUGGCAGUCUGUUGUAAGGCAUAGCUUUCCCUUUUCCCCAUUUGUUUAGGUAACAUUUACAUCUUUGUGUCAGUAUGGACACAAUAGGUAACAAUUUUACUAUUUUAUUCAAUAAGUAACAAUCUGUUAUCAAUAUUCAUUUUGGUGCUCAAAUUGUCCUAGAUUUGCUCUGUGAAGAUACUUCAGGCUUGGGCCUCCAUUCUUUAUUUACUUAUUUAUUUUUUGACUACAACCCAUCCUCCUUUGGGGCACUGGUUUGUAGAACAGAGUAGGGUACAGGAUCACCUUGGAACUUUCAGUGACUCACACCUGAGUUGUUACUCCAAGAAACAUAGUGUCUUUGAGAAGAGAAGAGUGUUUAAGGUCUGACUAGUUGGUGAAAACAUUGCUUCUGAUGUCACUGCUUCUUGGCCCUCUCAAAAGACAAAGCUAGAAAGUAUGUGU
ensembl:lncRNA